rnacentral:rRNA from 1 species
AUUGAACGCUGGCGGCAGGCCUAACACAUGCAAGUCGAACGAGUGGCGGACGGGUGAGUAAUGUCUGGGAAACUGCCCGAUGGAGGGGGAUAACUACUGGAAACGGUAGCAAAUACCGCAUACCAUCGGAUGUGCCCAGAUGGGCUUAGCGAGUAGGUGGGGUAACGGCUCACCUAGGCGACGAUCCCUAGCUGGUCUGAGAGGAUGACCAGACACACGGGAGCGGAGACGAGGUCCAGCAUCCUACGGGAGGCAGGAGUGGGGCAUAUUGCACAUUGGGCGCUAGCCUGAUGCAGGCAUUGCGCGUGUAUGAAGAGGGCCUUCGCGUUGUAAAGUACUUUCAUCGAGGAGGCGUUACUCGCAGAAGAAGCACCGGCUAACUCCGUGCCAGCAGCCGCGGUAAUAC